ensembl:processed_transcript
UUUUUUUACUUUAAAAAAUAUUAAAUUUCAAGUACUAAGUUUAAAAAUGUUUUCGGCUGAUAUUUUUCAUUUUAAAUUAUUUAUUAAAGUUGGGGUCAUUGUAUGUGGCGAUCUAUUUUUUUACAGUCUAUGCUCGCUAUCCCAAGGUUCAUUGCGAUCCCAAGGUUCACUGCGGUUUUCCACAAGCCUGUUUCUGCCUAUCACCAUGAGUGAUUCCUCAAUACUCAGAUUUAUCAUCAAGAUCUCAAUUAUAAGCUCAAGUUUUGAUGACAACUUGGCGAUCUGCAGAAAGCACCACCAUGUAAGGAAGUCCAAGACCACUCUGGAAUCAGUCAAGGGUGAAAUGGAGUGAGGCAUACAAGGAUAUGUCUGAUUUUACUCUUGGGAAGGAGGUUGAACAGUGCAAUAUUUCUUCUAUAGGAUUGCAGUGACCAGACAUGCUACUGUAACUCUCAUGGUCAUGUGCUGGAAUUAGCAGAUGUUCAACAAUUUGGCCAUCUCACUGACCUAUUGAUAUCAGAAGACCGCAACAGCUCUGCAAAGCAAGUUGCAAAACAGAAUCCAUGGAACUGGCAGUGACUGGAAACCAAUUGGAAGACUUUGGUCUGUGAUGUAGAGGAGUGGGCAGAGGGUGAGGAAAUUCUUAUUAAUAUUACAUGUAGUCAUGAAAAAUUGUAAGUGUUACUAUUAUUGUCAUUUUUUCAGUAGCAGAAGCAAAGACAACAAAAAACAGAAGUGAUAUGGAUGUCUUCGUCAUAUGGCAUGACUCUGCUGACCCAGCAACAAAGAGGAGGGUGUUCAACAUCAUCCUGCUAGUCAGGAUUCUUCAGGAGAAGCAGUGGAUUCUUGUGGCAGAGAUGGCCAACCACUAUAAAUACCUUUCAACUCAUCCUGGUUCUUUCAAAGAACUUUCCUGCUUGUUUGCUACUGAAAUAUUCGACAUGUGGCCUAAACGAAGAGGGGUCUAUGGAUCAUUAUUCUCAAAAAGCAACAAAAUAACUGAGAAAUAAACAACAAUACGAUGGUGCAAUCUAGAGACCUGCAAGGUACCUGCAAGUUUUGGCUGGAGCAGAAAACAUACAUUUUUUAAAUAAAGCUCCAGCUGAUGAGUUUGACAUUGACUGUGGAUUUUCUUUUAUUGUAAUCCAGAAGAGGAUGACCUUAACCCUGAAUCUAAAGCAUGUAAUAAAAUCUGUAAAAAUAAAAUAAAAUUUUCAUCAUCUAUAACCAAA